rnacentral:rRNA from 1 species
GACGGAGGAUGCAAGUGUUAUCCGGAAUCACUGGGCGUAAAGCGUCUGUAGGUGGUUAAAUAAGUCAACUGUUAAAUCUUGAGGCUCAACUUCAAAAUCGCAGUCGAAACUAUUAGACUAGAGUAUAGUAGGGGUAAAGGGAAUUCCCAGUGGAGCGGUGAAAUGCGUAGAGAUUGGAAAGAACACCAAUGGCGAAAGCACUUUACUGGGCUAUUACUGACACUGAGAGACGAAAGCUAGGGUAGCAAAUGGG